AGUCGCUGAAUUAGGACACAACUCGUGUGUGUGUGUGUGAGGUUUUGUUUUUUUUAUUCUUUUUUGUGACGCACUUACUUUCCUCCUCGCUGCUGCCCUUUUUCUUUUUUUUUCUUUUUUGUUCAGGCACUUGGACGGACAACUGACACACAACACUUCUUCGUUCUCCGCCGACACGGUGUGUUCACAGACCAUGGGGAAAAUGACCGUCAUAACACAUUAACACCAGCAGGGCCUUUUGCGGUCCCAGGCUGCAUGUCCAAGUGUGGAGUGUGGAGUGUGGAGUGGGUCCCCCAUGCAGGACAAUAACUCCAGCAGGAGUUUAGAGCGAGGGCGAGUCCUCUCAGUGAGGAGUUGGUCAGCAGCAGCACAGCAGCCUCGCUCUUCUCCGGAUUCUUUUCCCCUCUCUUCGAACUUCAUUGGACCACACGUCCUCUCUUCCACCAGCUGUAAGACAAACCUUCUUUUUUCUUUUUUCAAUAUAGCUUGGAUUAUUAUUAUUAGUUUAAUAUUUACUAUUUAUAUAUAUGGAUUAUUAUUCAUUAGUUGAAUAUUUACAAAUAGUAAUUGGGGUAAAUGAAUACUAUGUCAUAAAUGAUGAAUAUAUUCAUGACUUUCUCAAUAUUAAACUGCUGUUUGAAGCCGAUUGUAACAAUUUUACACAAAAAUAUCCUUAGAAAAGUUUGUAACAUAUUCUGCCUUGCUAUACCCCCCCAAAAAAACAAAAAAAAAACACACACAGCACUUGAGUACACUUUAUUCUGGAACAUCAACAGUAAUAAAAAAAUACAUUUUUUUUGUUUUUGUUUGUUUGUUUACCUGCAAUGAAUAUAAUUAUUGCAUAAAAACGUUAUAUUAUGCACAUCCACUAUAAGCAAAAAUAUGAUUUGUUAUGAUAGUUUAAUUGUCUUCAUUUGACACAAUAAGAGUUUUGCAGUUUUGUGCAUAUAUAUGUGGAAAAACGUCAUUUCAUGCGCAGAAAAAU